CAAUAGCGUAUAUUAAAGUUGUUGCGGUUAAAAAGCUCGUAGUUGGAUUUCUGCCGAGGACGACCGGUCCGCCCUCUGGGUGUGUAUCUGGCUCGGCCUGGGCAUCUUCUUGGGGAACGUUACUGCACUUGACUGUGUGGUGCGGAGCCCAGGACCUUUACUUUGAGGAAAUUAGAGUGUUUCAAGCAGGCAUUUGCCUUGAAUACAUUAGCAUGGAAUAAUAAGAUAGGACCUCGUCCCUACCUUGUUGGUUCGUAUGGAUGAGGUAAUGAUUAAUAGGGAUAGUCGGGGGCAUUCGUACUUAACUGUCAGAGGUGAAAUUCUUGGAUUUAUGAAAGACUAACUACUGCGAAAGCAUUUGCCAAGGAUGUUUUCAUUAAUCAAGAACGAAAGUUAGGGGAUCGAAGACGAUUAGAUACCAU
rnacentral:rRNA from 1 species